rnacentral:rRNA from 1 species
AUGAGCACAACUGCCAGAAGUGGCUAUCAGUACUUCGUGACUUUUACCGACGACUUGAGUAGAUAUGGAUAUAUCUAUUUGAUGAGGCACAAGUCAGAGACUUUUGAAAAGUUCAAAGAGUUUCAGAACGAGGUUGAGAAUCAGCUCGGCAAGACUAUAAAACUUCUACGAUCUGAUCGUGGAGGUGAGUACAUGAGCCAGGAGUUUGAUGAUCAUCUGAAAAGUUGA